rnacentral:rRNA from 1 species
AGUCGAACGGCAGCACAGGAAAGCUUGCUCUCUGGGUGGCGAGUGGCGGACGGGUGAGGAAUGCAUCGGAAUCUACUUUUUCGUGGGGGAUAACGUAGGGAAACUUACGCUAAUACCGCAUACGCCCUACGGGGGAAAGCCGGGGACCUUCGGGCCUGGCGCGGAUAAAUGAGCCGAUGUCCGAUUAGCUAGUUGGCGGGGUAAAGGCCCACCAAGGCGACGAUCGGUAGCUGGUCUGAGAGGAUGAUCAGCCACACUGGAACUGAGACACGGUCCAGACUCCUACGGGAGGCAGCAGUGGGGAAUAUUGGACAAUGGGCGCAAGCCUGAUCCAGCCAUACCGCGUGGGUGAAGAAGGCCUUCGGGUUGUAAAGCCCUUUUGUUGGGAAAGAAAAGCCAUGGGUUAAUACCCUGUGGUUCUGACGGUACCCAAAGAAUAAGCACCGGCUAACUUCGUGCCAGCAGCCGCGGUAAUACGAAGGGUGCAAGCGUUACUCGGAAUUACUGGGCGUAAAGCGUGCGUAGGUGGUUGUUUAAGUCUGUCGUGAAAGCCCUGGGCUCAACCUGGGAAUUGCGAUGGAAACUGGGCGACUAGAGUGUGGCAGAGGGUAGUGGAAUUCCUGGUGUAGCAGUGAAAUGCGUAGAGAUCAGGAGGA